rnacentral:pre_miRNA from 1 species
GGGGGGAGGCCAGAUCCUGGGCCGUGUUCCCAGCGCCCUGUGCUCCCGGGCCUGCACCGCUGGAAUCCUGCUCCCAGCCGCACAGCCCCCU